rnacentral:rRNA from 1 species
GACCAGACUCCUACGGGAGGCAGCAGUGGGGAAUAUUGCACAAUGGGGGAAACCCUGAUGCAGCGACGCCGCGUGAGUGAAGAAGUAUUUCGGUAUGUAAAGCUCUAUCAGCAGGGAAGAAAAUGACGGUACCUGACUAAGAAGCCCCGGCUAACUACGUGCCAGCAGCCGCGGUAAUACGUAGGGGGCAAGCGUUAUCCGGAUUUACUGGGUGUAAAGGGAGCGUAGACGGCAUGGCAAGUCAGAUGUGAAAGCCCGGGGCUCAACCCCGGGACUGCAUUUGAAACUGUCAGGCUGGAGUGCGGGAGAGGUAAGUGGAAUUCCUAGUGUAGCGGUGAAAUGCGUAGAUAUUAGGAGGAACACCAGUGGCGAAGGCGGCUUACUGGACUGUAACUGACGUUGAGGCUCGAAAGCGUGGGGAGCAAACAGGAUUAGAUACCCCCGUAUAU